rnacentral:rRNA from 1 species
UACGUAGGGCGCAAGCGUUUAUCCGGAAUUAUUGGGCGUAAAGAGCUCGUAGGCGGUUUGUCGCGUCUGCCGUGAAAGUCCGGGGCUCAACUCCGGAUCUGCGGUGGGUACGGGCAGACUAGAGUGAUGUAGGGGAGACUGGAAUUCCUGGUGUAGCGGUGAAAUGCGCAGAUAUCAGGAGGAACACCGAUGGCGAAGGCAGGUCUCUGGGCAUUAACUGACGCUGAGGAGCGAAAGCGUGGGUAGCGAACAGG